rnacentral:rRNA from 1 species
GACGAACGCUGGCGGCGUGCUUAACACAUGCAAGUCGAACGGAAAGGCCCUGCCUGCAGGGUACUCGAGUGGCGAACGGGUGAGUAACACGUGGGUGAUCUGCCCUGCACUUCGGGAUAAGCCUGGGAAACUGGGUCUAAUACCGGAUAGGAGCCAUUUUUAGUGUGAUGGUUGGAAAGUUUUUUCGGUGUAGGAUGAGCUCGCGGCCUAUCAGCUUGUUGGUGGGGUAAUGGCCUACCAAGGCGGCGACGGGUAGCCGGCCUGAGAGGGUGGACGGCCACAUUGGGACUGAGAUACGGCCCAGACUCCUACGGGAGGCAGCAGUGGGGAAUAUUGCACAAAGGGCGCAAGCCUGAUGCAGCGACGCCGCGUGGGGGAUGACGGCCUUCGGGUUGGAAACUCCUUUCGCUAGGGACGAAGCUUUUUGUGACGGUACCUAGAUAAGAAGCACCGGCUAACUACGUG